AGUGAAUAGAUACCCAGGUAGUCCUAGCCGUAAACGAUACUCGCUAGGCGUCGGCCACGGUGCGACCGUUGUCGGUGCCGUAGGGAAAGCCGUGAAGCGAGCCACCUGGGAAGUACGGCCGCAAGGCUGAAACUUAAAGGAAUUGGCGGGGGAGCACCACAACGGGUGGAGCUUGCGGUUUAAAUUGGAUUCAACGCCGGAAAUCUUACCGGGACCGACAGCAACAUGAAGGCCAGGCUGAAGACUUUACCGGAUUAGCUGAGAGGUGGUGCAUGGCCGUCGUCAGUUCGUACUGUGAAAGCAUCCUGUUAAGUCAGGCAACGAGCGAGACCCACGCCACAGUUGCCAGCGUACUCUCCGGAGUGACGGGUACACUGUGGGGGUCCGCCGCUGCUAAACGCGGAGGAAGGAAUGGGCAACGGUAGGUCAGUAUGCCCCGAAUAUCCCGGGCUACACGCGAGCUACAAUGGUUGGUACAAUGGGUAUCUACCCCGAAAGGGGUAUGGAAAUCUCCUAAAGCCAAUCUUAGUUC
rnacentral:rRNA from 1 species